UGGGACACUCAUGGUAGCUCAACUUAAAAGUGUAUUGUGGGAAACAGUAUUCGGUUCAGCAAAACUGGAACAUGCGUGUCAACACGGCUCAAGCUCUGCAAACGUGAUACUCAAACUCAGAAGAACCUGCUGCCACAGCUGUCGCGAAGAAAGGGGAAGGUUCAAUUAGAUGUUUUAGGUUUAACCCGUUUCGCCUUGCUGACGGUCUUUUCGGGGAUUUCGGUGUCUUCCGUUGACAUGCAGAGAUUAACAUAGAGGUGGACCUCGACAACCGCGGCAAGUCAGACAAUGCGAACCCGAUUUCCAAGCGCUUCUGUUACACCCGCCAGUGCGCGAGCGUACCAUGCACACGCUAUGCAUGCUCUGUGGUCAGCAUGGCAUACGGCAAUAUAAGCGCUGUGCAUAGAGCAUCUCAUGACAUUUUUAACGUCAAAAGCCGUUUUCGUCCUGCGAUCUUAGAAGAGCUCAUGACUUCACGUUGAGACGGAGAAACGCCGGUGGUGAAAGAUGUUGGCUUUGAAAAUGCUGACUUCCUUAUCGGUGCUCAGUUGUACUAUCUGUGGUUAUUCAUCCUGGGGUAAUAUAAACGCCCGGCUACCUAACCACGUCAACGAACUGGACAAAUCCCCAUCCCAACCGCACAUCAUUUUUAUCAUGGUCGACGAUCAAGGGUUCCGCGAUGUGGGUUAUCACGGAUCUGAAAUCAAGACGCCGGCAAUAGACAGACUCGCCGCCACCGGAGUGAAGUUGGAGAAUUAUUACGUGCAGCCUCUCUGCAGCCCUUCUCGAAGUCAACUCAUGACGGGCAGGUACCAGAUCCACACGGGCCUCCAGCACUCCAUCAUCCGGCCCACGCAGCCCAACUGCCUGCCCCUGGAGAACGUGACGCUGCCCCAGAAGCUGAAGGAGGCGGGCUACGCCACGCACAUGGUGGGCAAGUGGCACCUGGGCUUCUACAAGCGCGGCUGCAUGCCCACGCAGCGCGGCUUCGACACCUUCUUCGGCUCGCUGCUGGGCAGCGGCGACUACUACCGCCACUACAAGUGCGACGGGCCGGGCAUGUGCGGCUACGACCUGCACGAGGGCGAGGAGGCGGCCUGGGAGCAGGACCGCGGCGUCUACUCCACGCUCAUGUACACGCAGAAGGCCGUGCGCAUCCUGGCCUCGCACGACGCCCGCCGCCCGCUCUUCCUCUACCUGGCGUACCAGGCCGUGCACUCGCCGCUGCAGGUGCCGGCGCGCUACCUGGAGCGCUACAAGGGCAUCCCCAACCUGCACCGCCGCAAGUACGCCGCCAUGGUCAGCUGCCUGGACGAGGCCGUGCACAACCUGACCGCGGCGCUCAAGCGCUACGGCUACUACCGCAACGCCGUGCUGGUCUACUCCUCGGACAACGGCGGGCAGCCCAUGGCCGGCGGCAGCAACUGGCCGCUGCGGGGCAGCAAGGGCACGCUGUGGGAGGGCGGCGUGCGCGCCGUGGGCUUCGUGCACAGUCCACUGCUGGUCAAGACGGGCACGCGCUGCCGCGGGCUCAUGCACAUCACCGACUGGUACCCGACGCUGGUGACGCUGGCGGGCGGGACGCUGGGCGAGGGCCAGAGCCUGGACGGCUACGACGUGUGGGAGAGCGUCAGCGAGGGGCGGCCGUCGCCGCGCCAGGAGCUGCUGCACAACAUCGACCCCAUCUACACGCGCGCCAAGAACGGCUCGUGGAAGGCCGGCCACGGCCUGUGGGACACGGCGGUCCAGGCGGCGCUGCGCGUGGGCCACUGGAAGCUGCUGACCGGCGUGCCGGGCUACGGGGACUGGGUGCCGCCGCAGACCUUCUCCACCGCGCUGCUGGCCAAGCGCUGGCACAGCGAGCGCGUGCGCUGGGACCGCGGCCAGUCGCUGUGGCUCUUCAACAUCAGCGCCGACCCGUACGAGCGCACGGACCUGAGCCAGCGCUACCCGCACGUGGUCAAGAAGAUGCUGAUGCGCCUGGCGCGCUACAACCGCUCGGCCGUGCCCGUGCGCUACCCGGCCAAGGACUACCGCUCCAACCCGCAAUACAACGGCGGCGUCUGGGGACCCUGGUAUAAGGAGGAGGAGGACGACGACGAAGACGAAGAUGACGACGACGACGACGACGACAUGGAGAACAAUCUAUUCAACAAUCAUUUGGGGCAGACGAAAAGGAAGGGGAAAAUGCGACGCAAGAGCAAACUUCGGCGAAAAGGCUGAGGCAUCUUGUUAAAUAUCACUAAGCUUUUACAUCCAUCCAGUGAAUCUUGCCAGACUGGUGAAUCUCAGGGAAUGAGACAGACUCCUAUCGUCUGUUUGGUUGGUCGUCUCCACUGAUUUUAAAACUCAUAUUUUCAUAUUUUCCACGUCGAGCACCAAAUGUUCUCCUCGGUUUCGAGAGGACAAAGUGAGCCACUUGAAACACUGCUGUUCGCCCCUCCAACAACUCAAACCUCAGACUGUGACGGACGGGCUACGAUUGUGCAAAAAAAAAAAAUAAUGAAAUAUUUAUUUUUCUUUACUUAGUGCAUGCUUGAAGUACCAGGGAAUCAAAGUCUUAAUAAAUGUCUUUUAGAUGUUUAGAUGACAAGCAAAACAGUAGAAUCUUAUUUGAGUUUUUGAACUAGACGGAGCCAAACUUUUGGCUGUAUUUUAAAGGAAGAGUCAUUUUCGUGUCACUUUUUUGAGCUCGAUCAGCUGUAAAAGGACAGAAGCUACAGAAAAGAUGUGGAAUUUCGUUGUUACUGUAAACUCCGAGAGACAGAAGUGUGUAGGCACCUCAGUGGACAGGAAUUUUUGAAGCGCGUACGUACACAGACUCUCUCUCCCUCAGCUUUGUCUGGGCUGGGUCCAACUCAACUUGAAUCACACAGACACAUCACAUGUGCCUAUAGGAUCAAACAGUUGAAGCCCCAUUUGUUCGUACAUGUGCAUGUUAAAGGAAUCAAACUUGUUAGCGUGGCUCCAGCAUGUUUUAUGGAGAAGUGGCAUUGCAUCAUGGA